AACGAACGCUGGCGGCAGGCUUAACACAUGCAAGUCGAGCGGAGAUGAGGUGCUUGCACCUUAUCUUAGCGGCGGACGGGUGAGUAAUGCUUAGGAAUCUGCCUAUUAGUGGGGGACAACAUUCCGAAAGGAAUGCUAAUACCGCAUACGCCCUACGGGGGAAAGCAGGGGAUCUUCGGACCUUGCGCUAAUAGAUGAGCCUAAGUCGGAUUAGCUAGUUGGUGGGGUAAAGGCCUACCAAGGGGACGUUCUGUAGCGGGUCUGAGAGGAUGAGCCGCCACACUGGGACUGAGACACGGCCCAGACUCCUACGGGAGGCAGCAGUGGGGAAUAUUGGACAAUGGGCGGAAGCCUGAUCCAGCCAUGCCGCGUGUGUGAAGAAGGCCUUUUGGUUGUAAAGCACUUUAAGCGAGGAGGAGGCUACCUGGAUUAAUACUCUAGGAUAGUGGACGUUACUCGCAGAAUAAGCACCGGCUAACUCUGUGCCAGCCGCCGCAGUAAGAC
rnacentral:rRNA from 1 species